AACAUGUCUCUCUUACUAUUCCCAGGGGAUGGAGAGACUCAGAGAACAGAAUCAGGCUCACAGAAGCCAGGCAGAGUGUGUCGGUGAUAAAGCUGGCCUCAAAGCAGAGGAAGGGCUGACCCGGCUCCCUUCCCCAGGCACCUCGCCGCCGAGGCCUGGCCUCAUGGAAAUGGCUCUCCGCUCCCGCUGGCCAGCAGCCAGGCCAACAGCAGCCUCGGCAAGCUGCAUCCCCAGAUAGCCUCUUCGAGGACUAGGAAAGUAAGUGUACUUGGGAGUUAUCUGCCUUAAGCUAGCAGCAGGCCGCCCCAUCCGUUAGGGGAGGCGGGCGGGAUUGAGGCAGGGAAGUGUUUUAAAUAUCUUUUGUUUUGUUCCUUUUCGGCCAAUCGGAACCGAGGCCAACUUCGGGCAGGGUGACAGAGGGCUCACCUUCAGAUCAUGGAGCUGAAGGAGUCAUGUUACAGCCACAAAGAGACCCGUGGCGAUGUCGGGAGACGUUUUAGGUUGUCCGAUCUGGAGGAAGGGUGGGUGCUACUGAGAUCCAGAAGAGGCAGGACUGUGCAGUGAUUGAGUACGUGGCAGCUGGCCUCAGACUGUCUGACGUCUGGGUGUGAAUCCAGCUGUCCCACUGGCCUGGGCAGCUAGGCUGGGCAGCCUUGCUUGAGAAAUUGCCGUGCCAUCAAUAAGGGACUGAUUGAGUAAACGUGGUCCUGCCCUACAGACAGAAGACUCUACAGCUGUGGCCCAAGAAUCUGGGAACUCUUACGUACCGAUACGAACACUCUCUAAGACCCAUUCUUGAGUUGAAAAACAAAACAAAACAAGAACGGUAUGUGAAAUAUGUCAUUUAAAAAAAAAAAAUAGGCAAACCUCUGUGUCUUUUCCUGCUUAUUGGGUUUGCUUAUUGGGGAGCUGGCUCAGUUGGGAAAGCAUGCGACUCUUGAUCUCGGGGCUGUGAGUCUGAGCCCCACGCGGGGUGUACAGAUUACAUAUAUACACAUGUUUGCUUAUUAUGCACUGAAUUUCUUGGAAGCAUACUUAAAAAAUUGCUAACACUUUGCAUCCAAAGGGUCCUGGGUGGCAAGAACGGGAAGGAGAUUUUUUACUGCUGUCUCCUUUGAAUUUCAACCACGCGAAUGUACUACUUCUUCCAAAAUAAAUUAGUAAAUGUAAUAGAGUAUUAGGAAAAUUGUGGAAGACUAUGAAAUAGGCAAAAAAAAAAAAAAAAAAAAAAAGAUUAAUGGGUAGCUUGUUCUGGUGCGUUGGGUUACCUGCACUUUUGUUUCUGAGCUUUUCACAGCUCAGCCACUGGUAGAAAACCAAUAGUAAUGCAAAAGACGCUUGUCCAUAGACAUGCAAAUUAAGUCCCUGGAAUGCGAUGGAUUACUGCCUGGUGGAUCUGGGGGAGUUUUGCUAGUUUUCGCAUCUAUUCAUAAAUGCAUGUCAGCAUGCCUUGUAUGAGCCCUGCUCCGACUCCGUCUUUGAAUCGGUCGUCCGAUCAUCGUCCGUGCGUCCUCAUGAAUAAUGAGUUACGUAAAAUACAUAAAACAGGUUCAUUUUAUAUUUGUAUGUAGCUGGUUAAAAUGAAUUAUUUUAAAUCAUAAUUUCUUUUAAAAGAAAAACAAUGGGGCGCCUGGGUGGCUCAGUCGGUUAAGCGGCCGACUUCGGCUCAGGUCAUGAUCUCGCGGUCCGUGGGUUCGAGCCCCGCGUCUGGCUGUGUGCUGACAGCUCAGAGCCUGGAGCCUGUUUCGGAUUCUGUGUCUCCCUCUUUCUCUGACCCUCCCCUGUUCAUGCUCUCUCUCUCUGUCUCAAAAAUAAAUAAAUGUUUAA